rnacentral:ncRNA from 1 species
GAUCAAGCGAAUAAGGGCACACGGGGGAUGCCUAGGCUCUCAGAGGCGAUGAAAGACGUGAUAAGCUGCGAAAAGCUGCGGGGAUUGGCACACACGAAGUGAUCCGCAGAUAUCUGAAUGGGGCAACCCACUCGCUUGAGUAGUAUCCUGUACUGAAUACAUAGCUGCUGGAAGCGAACCUGGUGAACUGAAAUAUCUAAGUAACCAGAGGAAAAGAAAUCAACCGAGAUUCCGUAAGUAGCGACGAGCGAACGCGGAUCAGCCUUGACGAGAUAGCGUAUUGAAUAAUCGAACGGAAUGGAAAGUCCGGCCGUAGCAGGUGAUAGCCCUGUAGAUGAAAUUCAGUAUGUGGUACUAAGCGUCGAAUAAGUAGGGCGGGACACGUGAAAUCCUGUUUGAAGAUGGGGGGACCAUCCUCCAAGGC